UGCACGGUAGCUCAGUUGGUAGAACUUUUGCCUUGCAGUAAGAAGGUCCUGGGUCCGACUCCCAGCCAGGUGUCUUUCUGCAU